CGACCCUGCAGAGAGAAGAGACUUCUUGGAAGCGACUGGCAGGGAGGUGGAGACGGGCGCCACGCUGCAGCUCCCCGCCCUUCACCCCCGGGCGGGCGGCGGCGACUCUGGCCGCCUUCCCAGCCCCCGCCCUCGGCUCCUGCAGCCUUCCGGGGCUCAAGAGGUUCAGUCCCUACCACCACCAUAAAUCAAAGCUGAGCAGUGCAAGGACGUUACAUCAAUCCAAUUUCAUCACUUCAGCAAGAGUUCUGAACCCACAUCUGCCUGACUCCAAAGUUCAAGCUUCCUGGGGAAGAAGCCUCACCUGAGCUCGGAACCAUAUAGCCAACUGAUACCUGACCUUUGAGGCCCAGGAUGUUAAUCUACCUUCUGGCCUAGUACAAUACAUAUUCUCAUUUGGAAGGAUGGAGAAGGGUUGCUGGGAACCAAAUCCAGUCUCAUACAUGCAAAGCACACAUUUUACCAUUGCGCCACCGCCUGGCCCCUAUUUGUAUUAUUUGUCUGGCUCAGAUUUGAUAUUGCCUUCAGAAUAAAUUUUUAAAGUAAUCUUCA